UACGUAGGGGGCAAGCGUUGUCCGGAAUCAUUGGGCGUAAAGAGCGUGUAGGCGGCUCGGUAAGUCCGCUGUAAAAGUCCAGGGCUCAACCCUUGAAUGCCGGUGGAUACUGUUGAACUAGAGUCCGGAAGAGGCGAGUGGAAUUCCUGGUGUAGCGGUGAAAUGCGCAGAUAUCAGGAGGAACACCGAUUGCGAAGGCAGCUCGCUGGGACGGUACUGACGCUGAGACGCGAAAGCGUGGGGAGCAAACAGG
rnacentral:rRNA from 1 species